rnacentral:rRNA from 1 species
UACGUAGGGUGCGAGCGUUAAUCGGAAUUACUGGGCGUAAAGCGUGCGCAGGCGGUGAUGUAAGACCGAUGUGAAAUCCCCGGGCUUAACCUGGGAACUGCAUUGGUGACUGCAUUGCUGGAGUAUGGCAGAGGGGGGUGGAAUUCCACGUGUAGCAGUGAAAUGCGUAGAGAUGUGGAGGAAUACCGAUGGCGAAGGCAGCCCCCUGGGAUGAUACUGACGCUCAUGCACGAAAGCGUGGGGAGCAAACAGG